rnacentral:tRNA from 1 species
GGAGAGAUGGCUCAAUGGUUAGAGCACUGACUGCAUUUUAGAGGACCCAGGUUCAAUUCCUGGCACCC